rnacentral:rRNA from 1 species
GGCUCAGAAUGAACGCUGGCGGCAUGCCUAACACAUGCAAGUCGAACGAGACCUUCGGGUCUAGUGGCGCACGGGUGCGUAACGCGUGGGAAUCUGCCCCUCGGUUCGGAAUAACAGUUGGAAACGACUGCUAAUACCGGAUGAUGACGAAAGUCCAAAGAUUUAUCGCCGAGGGAUGAGCCCGCGUAGGAUUAGCUAGUUGGUGUGGUAAAAGCGCACCAAGGCGACGAUCCUUAGCUGGUCUGAGAGGAUGAUCAGCCACACUGGGACUGAGACACGGCCCAGACUCCUACGGGAGGCAGCAGUGGGGAAUAUUGGACAAUGGGCGAAAGCCUGAUCCAGCAAUGCCGCGUGAGUGAUGAAGGCCUUAGGGUUGUAAAGCUCUUUUACCCGGGAAGAUAAUGACUUACCGGAG